rnacentral:sRNA from 1 species
AAGAGGACUGUGAGGGGGACCAGGUAAUAUACCACCGAAGUGUGUUUCUCUGGUUCACUUCUCUCUUUGACGGAACCCCGUCAAAGAGGACUGUGAGGGGGACCAGGUAAUAUACCACCGAAGUGUGUUUCUCUGGUUCACUUCUCUCUUUGACGGAACCCCGUCUCUAGAUAUGGGUACCGA